rnacentral:rRNA from 1 species
CCCUUAGAUGUUCUGGGCCGCACGCGGGCUACACUGGUACAAUCACUAAGUUUCUGAGUAGUUAUGCUUGGGCAAUCUUGAAAACUGUACCGUGACGGGGCUUGACUGUUGAAAUUUUCUGUCACUAACGAGGAAUUCCUAGUAAAUGUGGGUCAUGAACUCACGUUGAUUACGUCCCUGCCCUUUGUACACACCGCCCGUCGCUCCUACCGAUUGAAUGUUCCGGUGAAUUCUUCGGAGUCUGCGGUAUCAAUGUUUCAUUAUACCAUAGGCGAAGUUGCGUAAACCUUAACAUUUAGAGGAAGGAGAAGUCGUAACA